AUGCAACUUGUUAGUGGUGGCCACACAAUUGUCUUGGUGAAUGGCUCGGUUACUCCUUACUUCAAAAAUGGCAAUGUCCUUAGGCAGGGUGAUCCUAUAUCCCCCCUUCUCUUCAAUUGCGUGGCCUACACAUUCUCUUGCAUUCUUAACAGGGCUGCCUCCGCGGGCCAUAUCCCCCCAGUCUAUUCUAACCUUCUGCCGGCUGAUAUUUCCCACCUCCUAUACACUGGUGAUACUAUUAUCAUGGCCCAGAACGAUGAUCGUUGCUUGGCUAACCUUAAAUCUUGCUUCUAUGCUUCCAAGAGAUGUCUGGCCUAUGUAUUAUUUUUUUGA
rnacentral:rRNA from 1 species